rnacentral:rRNA from 1 species
UGAAAGCCCACGGCUCAACCGUGGAGGGUCAUUGGAAACUGGGGAACUUGAAGACAGAAGAGGAGAGCGGAAUUCCACGUGUAGCGGUGAAAUGCGUAGAGAUGUGGAGGAACACCAGUGGCGAAGGCGGCUCUCUGGUCUGUGCUUGACGCUGAGGCGCGAAAGCGUGGGGAGCGAACAGGAUUAGAUACCCUGGUAGUCCACGCCGUAAACGAUGAGUGCUAGGUGUUAGGGGUUUCCACCCUUAGUGCUGCAGUUAACGCAAUAAGCACUCCGCCUGGGGAGUACGGCCGCAAGGCUGAAACUCAAAGGAAUUGACGGGGGCCCGCACAAGCGGUGGAGCAUGUGGUUUAAUUCGAAGCAACGCGAAGAACCUUACCAGGUCUUGACAUCCUCGGACCACCCUAGAGAUAGGGUCUUCCCUUCGGGGACCGAGUGACAGGUGGUGCAUGGUUGUCGUCAGCUCGUGUCGUGAGAUGUUGGGUUAAGUCCCGCAACGAGCGCAACCCUUGACCUUAGUUGCCAGCAUUUAGUUGGGCACUCUAAGGUGACUGCCGGUGACAAACCGGAGGAAGGUGGGGAUGACGUCAAAUCAUCAUGCCCCUUAUGACCUGGGCAACACACGUGCUACAAUGGAUGGUACAAAGGGACGCAAAACCG